AACGCGAAGAACCUUACCCAGGCUCGAAAUGCAGGUGGCGAUACCAGAGAUGGUAUUUUCCGUAAGGACGCCUGUAUAGGUGCUGCAUGGCUGUCGUCAGCUCGUGCCGUGAGGUGUUGGGUUAAGUCCCGCAACGAGCGCAACCCUUAUCAUUAGUUGCCAACAUUUAAGGUGGGGACUCUAAUGAGACUGCCUGGGUUAACCAGGAGGAAGGUGAGGAUGACGUCAAGUCCGCAUGGCCUUUAUGUCUGGGGCUACACACGUGCUACAAUGGUCGGUACAGAAGGCAGCAAGACCGUAAGGUGGAGCAAAUCCGUAAAACCGAUCUCAGUUCAGAUUGUAGUCUGCAACUCGACUACAUGAAGCUGGAAUUGCUAGUAAUGACGUGUCAGCAACAACGUCGUGAAUACGUUCCCGGGCCUUGUACACACCGGUACUA
rnacentral:rRNA from 1 species